CAGACCAAUGAUGAUGCCUAGUGGAGUAUCAGUCACGAAUGAUGAUACCAUGUGUUUGGAACUCUGAGGUCCAG